GGGCGUAAAGAGCUCGUAGGCGGUUUGUCGCGUCUGCUGUGAAAGCCCGGGGCUCAACCCCGGGUCUGCAGUGGGUACGGGCAGACUAGAGUGCAGUAGGGGAGACUGGAAUUCCUGGUGUAGCGGUGAAAUGCGCAGAUAUCAGGAGGAACACCGAUGGCGAAGGCAGGUCUCUGGGCUGUUACUGACGCUGAGGAGCGAAAGCAUGGGGAGCGAACAGGAUUAGAUACCCUGGUAGUCCAUGCCGUAAACGUUGGGCACUAGGUGUGGGGGGCAUUCCACGUUCUCCGCGCCGUAGCUAACGCAUUAAGUGCCCCGCCUGGGGAGUACGGCCGCAAGGCUAAAACUCAAAGGAAUUGACGGGGGCCCGCACAAGCGGCGGAGCAUGCGGAUUAAUUCGAUGCAACGCGAAGAACCUUACCAAGGCUUGACAUCCACCGGACCGCCCCAGAGAUGGGGUUUCCCUUCGGGGUCGGUGGACAGGUGGUGCAUGGUUGUCGUCAGCUCGUGUCGUGAGAUGUUGGGUUAAGUCCCGCAACGAGCGCAACCCUCGUUCUAUGUUGCCAGCACGUGAUGGUGGGGACUCAUAGGAGACUGCCGGGGUCAACUCGGAGGAAGGUGGGGAUGACGUCAAAUCAUCAUGCCCCUUAUGUCUUGGGCUUCACGCAUGCUACAAUGGCCGGUACAAAGGGUUGCGAUACUGUGAGGUGGAGCUAAUCCCAAAAAGCCGGUCUCAGUUCGGAUUGAGGUCUGCAACUCGACCUCAUGAAGUCGGAGUCGCUAGUAAUCGCAGAUCAGCAACGCUGCGGUGAAUACGUUCCCGGGCCUUGUACACACCGCCCGUCAAGUCACGAAAGUUGGUAACACCCGAAGCCGGUGGCCUAACCCCUGGGGGAGGGAGCCUCGAAGG
rnacentral:rRNA from 1 species